GGACCUGUAGCGCAGUGGUUGACGCGCCCUCACCUCGGUGCGGGAGGACGCCGGUUCGAAUCCGGCCUGGUCCG
rnacentral:tRNA from 2 species